GCCGGGCUAGCUCAAUCGGUAGAGCGUGCGGCUCUUAAGAUCACAACUUCUAGUGACCGCAAGGUUGCGGGUUCGACCCCCGCGUUCGGCU
rfam:Paracoccidioides brasiliensis Pb18 unplaced genomic scaffold supercont2.8, whole genome shotgun sequence.